rnacentral:rRNA from 1 species
AGAGUUUGAUCCUGGCUCAGGACGAACGCUGGCGGCGUGCUUAACACAUGCAAGUCGAACGGAAAGGCCCCUUCGGGGGUACUCGAGUGGCGAACGGGUGAGUAACACGUGGGUGAUCUGCCCUGCACUUUGGGAUAAGCCUGGGAAACUGGGUCUAAUACCGAAUAGGACCACGCGCUUCAUGGUGUGUGGUGGAAAGCUUUUGCGGUGUGGGAUGGGCCCGCGGCCUAUCAGCUUGUUGGUGGGGUAAUGGCCUACCAAGGCGACGACGGGUAGCCGGCCUGAGAGGGUGUCCGGCCACACUGGGACUGAGAUACGGCCCAGACUCCUACGGGAGGCAGCAGUGGGGAAUAUUGCACAAUGGGCGCAAGCCUGAUGCAGCGACGCCGCGUGGGGGAUGACGGCCUUCGGGUUGUAAACCUCUUUCAGUAUCGGCGAAGCUCCAGGAUUUUUCUUGGGGUGACGGUAGGUACAGAAGAAGCACCGGCCAACUACGUGCCAGCAGCCGCGGUAAUACGUAGGGUGCGAGCGUUGUCCGGAAUUACUGGGCGUAAAGAGCUCGUAGGUGGUU